rnacentral:rRNA from 1 species
UACGUAGGGGGCGAGCGUUGUCCGGAUUCAUUGGGCGUAAAGGGCUCGUAGGCGGUCUGUUGCGUCGGGAGUGAAAACUCAGGGCUUAACCCUGAGCCUGCUUCCGAUACGGGCAGACUAGAGGUAUGCAGGGGAGAACGGAAUUCCUGGUGUAGCGGUGAAAUGCGCAGAUAUCAGGAGGAACACCGGUGGCGAAGGCGGUUCUCUGGGCAUUACCUGACGCUGAGGAGCGAAAGUGUGGGGAGCGAACAGG